GACGAACGCUGGCGGCGUGCUUAACACAUGCAAGUCGAACGGAAAGGCCCUGCUUUUGUGGGGUGCUCGAGUGGCGAACGGGUGAGUAACACGUGAGUAACCUGCCCUUGACUUUGGGAUAACUUCAGGAAACUGGGGCUAAUACCGGAUAGGAGCUCCUGCUGCAUGGUGGGGGUUGGAAAGUUUCGGCGGUUGGGGAUGGACUCGCGGCUUAUCAGCUUGUUGGUGGGGUAGUGGCUUACCAAGGCUUUGACGGGUAGCCGGCCUGAGAGGGUGACCGGCAACAUUGGAACUAGGAUACGGCCAGGCCUCUAAGGGGGGGAAGCGGGGGGAAAUAUGGAAAAAGGGGCGGAGGCCUGAGGAAGCACCGCGGGGUGGGGAAGAACGGCUUUCGGGUUGUAACCGCUUUCGCCUGUGACGAAGCGUGAGUGACGGUAAUGGGUAAAGAAGCACCGGCUAACUACGUG
rnacentral:rRNA from 1 species